UACAGAGGUCUCAAGCGUUUGUUCGGAUUCAUUGGGCGUAAAGGGUGCGUAGGUGGCGUCGUAAGUCAGGUGUGAAAUCUCGGGGCUUAACUCCGAAACUGCAUUUGAUACUGGCGGUGCUUUGAGGACGUGGAGAGGAGACUUGGAAUUUACGGUGUAGCAGUGAAAUGCGUAGAGAUCGUAAGGAAGACCAGUGGCGAAGGCGGGUCU
rnacentral:rRNA from 1 species